rnacentral:lncRNA from 1 species
ACGCCUUCCGUGCCUCGUGGCCAGCCAUACACUGGCCGAACAUGCACAAAAAUCUACGCGUGUAAACCGCCUGCUGCUGCUGACGCUGACGCCGCCGGCGGAGCGCCAUGACGACGAUCAGCAUGCUUGGCCUGUUUAGAUUGGGGCUGAAAAUUUUUUGGGUGUCACAUCGAAUGUGUGGGAAGGAUGUCGGGAGGGAUUUUUAGAAACUAAUAAAAAAAUAAAUUACAUAGCUCGUCAGGAAACUGCAAGACAAAUUUAUUAAGCAUAAUUAAUCUGUCAUUAGCAUAUGUGGGUUACUGUAGCACUUAAGGCUAAUCAUGGAGUAACUAGGCUUAAAAGAUUCGUCUCGCGAUUCUCAACUAAACUGUGUAAUUAGUUUAUUUUUUUAUCUACAUUUAAUGUUCCAUGCAUGUGUCCAAAGAUUCGAUGGGAUGGAUGAAAAAAUUUUUGGUGGGGAACUAAACAGGGCCUAAGAAUAAUAAUUUCCUUUGAACAACAAGGCGCCUCUAGUCUAGGCUCUACAUAAUCACUAGUAGUAAUCAGGUUAGUAUGAGUCUAUAUAAUAAUUUAAUAAGAUCCAAACUGUAAUUGGGCGGAGGCGCUGUGUGUGCAUGUAC